AGUGAACGCUGGCGGCAGGCCUAACACAUGCAAGUCGAGCGGCAGCGCGGGGGCAACCCUGGCGGCGAGCGGCGGACGGGCGAGGAAUUCGUCGGAAUCUGCCUUUUUGUGGGGGAUAACGUAGGGAAACUUACGCUAAUACCGCAUACGUCCUACGGGAGAAAGUGGGGGACCGCAAGGCCUCACGCAGAAAGAUGAGCCGACGACCGAUUAGCUAGUUGGUGGGGUAAAGGCCCACCAAGGCGACGAUCGGUAGCUGGUCUGAGAGGAUGAUCAGCCACACUGGGACUGAGACACGGCCCAGACUCCUACGGGAGGCAGCAGUGGGGAAUAUUGGACAAUGGGCGCAAGCCUGAUCCAGCCAUGCCGCGUGUGUGAAGAAGGCCUUCGGGUUGUAAAGCACUUUUGUCCGGAAAGAAAUCCCUGGAGCUAAUACCUUCGGGGGAUGACGGUACCGGAAGAAUAAGCACCGGCUAACUUCGUG
rnacentral:rRNA from 1 species